rnacentral:rRNA from 1 species
GACGAACGCUGGCGGCGUGCUUAACACAUGCAAGUCGAACGGAAAGGCCCUGCUUUUGUGGGGUGCUCGAGUGGCGAACGGGUGAGUAACACGUGAGUAACCUGCCCUUGACUUUGGGAUAACUUCAGGAAACUGGGGCUAAUACCGGAUAGGAGCUCCUGCUGCAUGGUGGGGGUUGGAAAGUUUCGGCGGUUGGGGAUGGACUCGCGGCUUAUCAGCUUGUUGGUGGGGUAGUGGCUUACCAAGGCUUUGACGGGUAGCCGGCCUGAGAGGGUGAACGGCCACAAUGGGACUACGAGACGGCCCAGACUCCUACGGGAGGCAGCAGUGGGGAACAUUGCACAAUGGGCGGAAGCCUGAUGCAGCAACGCCGCGUGCGGGAUGACGGCCUUCGGGUUGUAAACCGCUUUCGCCUGUGACGAAGCGUGAGUGACGGUAAUGGGUAAAGAAGCACCGGCUAACUACGUG